GACGAACGCUGGCGGCGUGCUUAACACAUGCAAGUCGAACGGAAAGGCCCUGCUUUUGUGGGGUGCUCGAGUGGCGAACGGGUGAGUAACACGUGAGUAACCUGCCCUUGACUUUGGGAUAACUUCAGGAAACUGGGGCUAAUACCGGAUAGGAGCUCCUGCUGCAUGGUGGGGGUUGGAAAGUUUCGGCGGUUGGGGAUGGACUCGCGGCUUAUCAGCUUGUUGGUGGGGUAGUGGCUUACCAAGGCUUUGACGGGUAGCCGGCCUGAGAGGGUGACCGGCCACAUUGGGACUGAGAUACGGCACAGACUCCUACGGGAGGCAGCAGUGGGGAAGAGUGCACAAUGGGCGGGAGCCUGAUGCAGCAACGCCGCGUGCGGGAUGACGGCCUUCGGGUUGUAAACCGCUUUCGCCUGUGACGAAGCGUGAGUGACGGUAAUGGGUAAAGAAGCACCGGCUAACUACGUG
rnacentral:rRNA from 1 species